rnacentral:rRNA from 1 species
UGAAACCGUCUAGAGGCAAACGGAGAGGACCGUAUGGUCCGCCCGUCGGAUUCAGUCCGCCUGCGCGGCGCGGGCGUCGGCGGCGCAUCCCUCGUGGGAGCGCCACGGCGUCUCGAUCGUCGUGCGGCGGCCGUACUUUCGGCGGGCGGAGCGCCACGACCGGUUCGCGGGCGGCGAGAAACUCUCGGGCAAGGUGACCUUCGCCUCGGCGCAGGAGCAUACAGGCCCGGCGAGCGCAGGCCCGUCCGCGGACCGAGGAAGACCGUCGCGGAGCGGCGUCGACCGCCCGUCGUGGGCGCGCGUUCGAAUCGGGGGGACUGGUUCCAGUGCCCUCGGACCGCGUGCGUCUAUCGGCGGGACGGCCCGGCGUCGCGCCUGGGGUCGGUGGCGAAACGGCCGGCAACCUGUCCGACCCGUCUUGAAACACGGACCAAGGAGUCUAACAUGUGCGCGAGUCGUUGGGCGUUACGAAACCCGAAGGCGCAAUGAAAGUGAAGGCCCGGUCUCCGGCCGGCCUGGGUGGGAUCCGGACGGUCGCGGCCGUCCGGCGCACCACCGGCCCGUCUCGUUCGCCACGUCGAUGAGGCGGAGCAAGAGCGUACACGUUGGGACCCGAAAGAUGGUGAACUAUGCCUGAGUAGGACGAAGCCAGAGGAAACUCUGGUGGAGGUCCGCAGCGAUUCUGACGUGCAAAUCGAUCGUCAAACUUGGGUAUAGGGGCGAAAGACUAAUCGAACCAUCUAGUAGCUGGUUCCUGUCGAAGUUUCCCUCAGGAUAGCUGGCGCUCGUCGUGAGCAGUUUUAUCCGGUAAAGCGAAUGACUGGAGGCCUUGGGGACGAAACGUCCUCAACCUACUCUCAAACUUUAAAUGGGUAAGACGUCCGACUCGCUCGAUUGGA